GGGCGUAUGGUUUAGAGGUAUAAUGCCUGUCUUGAAUGUUCAAAGUCGAGAGGUCUUCGGUUUGAAUCCGGAUUCGCCCC